rnacentral:rRNA from 1 species
GAUGAACGCUGGCGGCGUGCCUAAUACAUGCAAGUCGAGCGAACAGACAAGGAGCUUGCUCCUCUGACGUUAGCGGCGGACGGGUGAGUAAAACGUGGAUAACCUACCUAUAAGACUGGGAUAACUUCGGGAAACCGGAGCUAAUACCGGAUAAUAUAUUGAACCGCAUGGUUCAAUAGUGAAAGACGGUUUUGCUGUCACUUAUAGAUGGAUCCGCGCCGCAUUAGCUAGUUGGUAAGGUAACGGCUUACCAAGGCAACGAGGCGUAGCCGACCUGAGAGGUGGAUCGGCGACACUGGAACUGAGACACGGGCCAGACUCCAACGGGAGGCAGCAGUAGGGAAUCGUCCGCAAUGGGCGAAAGGCUGACGGAGCAACGCCGCGUGAGUGAUGAAGGUCUUCGGAUCGUAAAACGCUGUUAUUAGGGAAGAACAAAUGUGUAAGUAACUAUGCACGUCUUGACGGUACCUAAUCAGAAAGCCACGGCUAACUACGUG